AUGAGAGAAAGCCACUCAGCAGAGCAAACUUUGUGCCUGGCCUUAUGCAGACAAGCUGAGCCUUCAGUUCCUGUCCAGCUCCUUACACAAAGCCCCGUGCUUCCUCUCCAGCAUCUCUGGAGCCUCGUAAGACCCUUCCUCUUCCCAGCAGAUCGAAUUGCAGCUGUCUCGAGCUGGCUGGCAGCGAAUCGCCACGGCUGGAGCUGGCCUUGUUUUUCCAGAGCGAAAAAAAGGAAGAGGUUCCUGGUCCCUGCAGAUGUCAUCCAACCGUCCCAGCCAGCUCAUUUCUGCCCUGUUGAGAGACGCCUGCGGGGGGAGAGCGUGAAGGGGGCCGAGGAGCGCGGAGUCGGGCGGGCACCAUGCCUGCCUGCCUGCCCCCGGCUGAUGGGAACAGGCAGGGACAAAGGAUCACGGGCAGCUCUCCGACUCCACGUGGCUGUGCCAUCCCCUGGGAUGGGAUCUCCUGCUGCCCUGGCCACUGGGGACCUUGCAGGGGACAUGGAGGCGCUGGCUGUCACGGCACCAGAAGCAGCACAGAAGGAUGUAGCAGGAUCACAAGCAGAGGUGGAUGCCUUAAAAGCAGCAGCAGUGAGAGGGGAGAUGGAAAGUCUGAAGGGAAGCUCCAGUGGAAACGUGGUCAACCCUGAUGGAGCAGCGGUGGAAGGAUCAGAAAACCCAGAGGCAGACAGAGUCGCUGAAGCAUUUGCCCAAGCAGUAGAAAGAAUAGCGAAAGCAGAAGUAACCAAGGUGUUGCAAUCAGCAAUAGCUGAGCUCAAAGAAAAGAAGAGGAGCGUGUGGCUAAAGCAGAGGAACACCAUCCAAACGGAGGAGGAGGACUGGGUAAAAGAGGGGGAGAUGAUAUGA
rnacentral:lncRNA from 1 species